rnacentral:rRNA from 1 species
GCCAGACUCCUACGGGAGGCAGCAGUGGGGGAUAUUGCACAAUGGGGGAAACCCUGAUGCAGCGACGCCGCGUGGGCGAAGAAGUAUUUCGGUAUGUAAAGCCCUAUCAGCAGGGAAGAAGAAAUGACGGUACCUGAGUAAGAAGCCCCGGCUAACUACGUGCCAGCAGCCGCGGUAAUACGUAGGGGGCAAGCGUUAUCCGGAUUUACUGGGUGUAAAGGGGGCGCAGACGGCGAUGCAAGCCAGGAGUGAAAGCCCGGGGCCCAACCCCGGGACUGCUCUUGGAACUGCGUGGCUGGAGUGCAGGAGGGGCAGGCGGAAUUCCUGGUGUAGCGGUGAAAUGCGUAGAUAUCAGGAGGAACACCGGUGGCGAAGGCGGCCUGCUGGACUGCAACUGACGUUGAGGCCCGAAAGCGUGGGGAGCAAACAGGAUUAGAUACCCGUGUAC